GAUGAACGCUGGCGGCGUGCCUAAUACAUGCAAGUCGAGCGAACAGACGAGGAGCUUGCUGCUCGGACGUUAGCGGAGGACGGGUGAGUAACACGUGGAUAACCUACCUAUAAGACUGGGAUAACUACGGGAAACCGGAGCAAACACGGGAUAAUAUCUUGAACCGCAGGGGGCAAUAGUGAAAGACGGUUUUGGUGGCACUAAUAGAUGGAUCCGCGCCGCAUGAGCUAGUUGGUAAGGUAACGGCUUACCAAGGCAACGAUGCGUAGGCGACGGGAGAGGUGGGUCGCCCGCCCUGGAGCUGAGCCACCGUCCAGGGUCCUACGAGAUGCCGCAGUAUGCUAUCUUCCGCAGUAGGCGAAAACCUGGCGGAGCAGCGCCGCGUCAGUGAUAGAGACCUUCCGAUCGUAAUACUCUGUUAUUGGUUAAAAACAAAUGUGUAAGUUGCUGUACACGUCUUGACGGUACCUGGUCAAAAAGCACCGGCUAACUACGUG
rnacentral:rRNA from 1 species